GGGCAGGGGGCGGUGGUGAGUGUAUGGAUGACACUGAUGUGUGAAUUUCUCAGCAAAGGCAGACUAACCUUCUCACUACAGAAUGAGCUGCUCUUCUUGACUGUGGAAGGUGCUUCUCUCUGACUGACAUGAGGUUUCAGAGUGGCCCUGCCUCCAGGCCUCGGGGCUGAAGCUGGUGACUACAGAGAGGGAAAUAAAGCUCAAAUAUACAAAGUUCCUGAAAACGUAAGUUCUCUGAGGAAACACAUCUUCCAUGGGGAUAUUUGAAGGUGCUGGGACCUGAAGGAGUCUUCUGGUUGUGUCGAUCUUUGUGAGAAGCUCUUUCUGCCUAUUCACCCUUCAACUGUGUCAGGACACCUUUGUGGUGGCACAGUGAAGGUGGCUGCCCACUCUAAGGCUGUUGUAGCAAACUUCAGAAGUCCUGAGGAUGCACCAAUGGAGAGUUUGCACCCACAAACAGGUACCAUCUCCGCAGCUGGUUCUUUCCCAAGUCUCUCUCUCUCAGCAUCCCUGUUUUUCAUCUUGUGCAUGGGAAUUGAACAAAGUCCAAAUCGGUUUUUGGAACAAUCCUAAAUCAGGGAUACUGUGAAGACAAAUGGUAAAUGUCUGUUACCCCAGCUGCUAAGUUAAUUACUGUAAUGGGAAACAUCUUGAGAGAAGCAUUGCAUAUGGUUAUUAGCAAUUAACCCACCACUCCAAAAAUCACAAUUCCUGCUAAUAACAGAACACAGCACAGCCUUUCUAAUUACGGUCUCUGCAUGAGAAUUUCUUCCAAUCAGAAGGGAAUGUUCAAUCCUGGAACUAACUACGAUUUAAAAAGGCUUGGAGAUAUUGAGGAUUGGGCAGAAAAAUGGAAAUGGCGUAGGGUGGUGUGACUCAAAGCUGUAGACAUGCUCAUUCACACAUUCACACUUGGGGAGACGCAGCAACGUUCACAAUGUCUUUGAAGGAAAAUAAUCAUCAAUGAAUGUUAAUGGAGAGAGAAAUACACUUUAGAAUGAAGAAGAGACUCCACGAGAGAUGCCAACUUCUCUGCAGAACUCGUGAUCUCCACUCUGUUGUAAACAAUACGCCGUUCAAUAAUGCUUAGCAAAGGGUUGCACCUGAAACUGUAAGAAGAAUGUCCUGAUCAAUGAAAGAGGAGAAUAAUAGAAAUUACUUAUUUUCCGUCUGUCAGAAAGUCCUGCAGUGCUCCAUGAGGUGUUCUUUUUCUGACAGCUUUUAUUCUAUGCGAUUGGCUUAGAUUAUAGCUCACCUGCAGAGUCGCCCGGGGGAAGCAGGACUUUGGUUGCUCAGUUCCAAUGCUGAACAGGACAGGAUUUAAUUUGUUCCUUUCACCAGUCAGGAACAGAACUCUUUUGCCAACAUUGCUUUGGUGGUGGGCACGAUAUAGUUUGUAGGAGUCAAGCUCAAUGAUACAGUUUUGUAGCAAAUAAGUUUCAUGACUGAUUGCAUCUGGUUGGUUCUGGCGGGGUUUUGUGAUAUAAAGUAGUCACUAAUUCUGUACCCAUCACCCUUUUUCCCUGACAUUUCCCACUGCUCCCACUGUAAGAACUGGAAUAAAUGAGUCUGCUUUCAUGUCUGCAUUGUCUGUAUCAGGCCUGAAGAUUUAACCGACUCGGGCGCAGUCAGAUCAAUUAUCCCAAUGGGCUUUUGAAGCUGCCUUCACAAAUGCUGCUUCCCUGCAACUCUUACUCAUGUGAAUCGUCCCAUUAAAGUCAACAGCCC
rnacentral:lncRNA from 1 species